GGGCCCGCACAAGCGGUGGAGUAUGUGGUUUAAUUCGAUGCAACGCGAAGAACCUUACCAGGGUUUGACAUCCUGCGAAUCUCUUGGAAACGAGAGAGUGCCUUCGGGAGCGCAGUGACAGGUGGUGCAUGGCUGUCGUCAGCUCGUGUCGUGAGAUGUUGGGUUAAGUCCCGCAACGAGCGCAACCCACGUCUUUAGUUGCCAGCAUUUAGUUGGGCACUCUAGAGAGACCGCCGGUGAUAAACCGGAGGAAGGUGUGGAUGACGUCAAGUCAUCAUGGCUCUUACGAGUAGGGCUACACGCGUGCUACAAUGGUUGGUACAACGGGUUGCCAAGCCGCGAGGUGGAGCUAAUCCUGUAAAGCCAAUCGUAGUCCGGAUUGGAGUCUGCAACUCGACUCCAUGAAGCUGGAAUCGCUAGUAAUCG
rnacentral:rRNA from 1 species